rnacentral:rRNA from 1 species
CUUGGUGAUUAUGGCGAGGAUGGUACACCUGUUUCCAUCUCGAACACAGAAGUUAAGCUCCUCAGCGCCGACGAUAGUGAAAGCGAAAAUAGGACAUUGCCAAGG